AAUUAUUGGGCGUAAAGAGCUCGUAGGCGGUUUGUCGCGUCUGCUGUGAAAUCCCGAGGCUCAACCUCGGGCCUGCAGUGGGUACGGGCAGACUAGAGUGCGGUAGGGGAGAUUGGAAUUCCUGGUGUAGCGGUGGAAUGCGCAGAUAUCAGGAGGAACACCGAUGGCGAAGGCAGAUCUCUGGGCCGUAACUGACGCUGAGGAGCGAAAGGGUGGGGAGCAAACAGGCUUAGAUACCCUGGUAGUCCACCCCGUAAACGUUGGGAACUAGUUGUGGGGACCAUUCCACGGUUUCCGUGACGCAGCUAACGCAUUAAGUUCCCCGCCUGGGGAGUACGGCCGCAAGGCUAAAACUCAAAGGAAUUGACGGGGACCCGCACAAGCGGCGGAGCAUGCGGAUUAAUUCGAUGCAACGCGAAGAACCUUACCAAGGCUUGACAUAUACGAGAACGGGCCAGAAAUGGUCAACUCUUUGGACACUCGUAAACAGGUGGUGCAUGGUUGUCGUCAGCUCGUGUCGUGAGAUGUUGGGUUAAGUCCCGCAACGAGCGCAACCCUCGUUCUAUGUUGCCAGCACGUAAUGGUGGGAACUCAUGGGAUACUGCCGGGGUCAACUCGGAGGAAGGUGGGGAUGACGUCAAAUCAUCAUGCCCCUUAUGUCUUGGGCUUCACGCAUGCUACAAUGGCCGGUACAAAGGGCUGCAAUACCGUGAGGUGGAGCGAAUCCCAAAAAGCCGGUCCCAGUUCGGAUUGAGGUCUGCAACUCGACCUCAUGAAGUCGGAGUCGCUAGUAAUCGCAGAUCAGCAACGCUGCGGUGAAUACGUUCCCGGGUCUUGUACACACCGCCCGUCAAGUCAUGAAAGUCGGUAACACCUGAAGCCGG
rnacentral:rRNA from 1 species